rnacentral:rRNA from 1 species
AUUGAACGCUGGCGGCAGGCCUAACACAUGCAAGUCGAGCGAGAAAGUUCUUCGGAAUGAGUACAGCGGCGGACGGGUGCGUAACGCGUAGGAAUCUACCUAGUAGUGGGGGACAACAUGGGGAAACUCAUGCUAAUACCGCAUACGCCCUACGGGGGAAAGCGGGGGACCGUUCGGGCCGUCGUGCUAUUAGAUGAGCCUGCGUAAGAUUAGCUUGUUGGUGGGGUAAAAGCCUACCAAGGCGACGAUCUUUAGCUGGUCUGAGAGGAUGAUCAGCCACACUGGAACUGAGACACGGUCCAGACUCCUACGGGAGGCAGCAGUGGGGAAUAUUGCACAAUGGGGGAAACCCUGAUGCAGCCAUGCCGCGUGUGUGAAGAAGGCC